AUACGGAAGGCAGCAGUGGGGAGUCUUGCGCAAUGGGCGAAAGCCUGACGCAGCCAUGCCGCGUGUAUGAUGAAGGUCUUAGGAUUGUAAAAUACUUUCACCGGGGACGAUAAUGACGGUACCCGGAGAAGAAGCCCCGGCUAACUUCGUGCCAGCAGCCGCGGUAAUACGAAGGGGGCUAGCGUUGCUCGGAAUUACUGGGCGUAAAGGGAGCGUAGGCGGAUAGUUUAGUCAGAGGUGAAAGCCCAGGGCUCAACCUUGGAAUUGCCUUUGAUACUGGCUAUCUUGAGUAUGGGAGAGGUGAGUGGAACUCCGAGUGUAGAGGUGAAAUUCGUAGAUAUUCGGAAGAACACCAGUGGCGAAGGCGACUCACUGGCCCAUUACUGACGCUGAGGCUCGAAAGCGUGGGGAGCAAACAGGAUUAGAUACCCUUGUAGUCUG
rnacentral:rRNA from 1 species